GGGAUGUUUGACGGGAAGUUGGGUCAUUGACCCAACAAUUAUAUCUUUUCAAAUUAGCAUUGUAACCUUUUGCUAAUACCCAACGGUUGCUGCAUGUUUUACAACAUAUAUGAUCUUUGGGUAAUUGGUGUUUGUAUUAGAUAUGUCCAUUGGACAUAAUGAUGCAAUGUGUUGUAUCCCAUGGUGAAAAGACAUACUCAAAUCAAAGGAUGUGUCUAAAGGGUGUAAUUCUCUCUAUAUAUAGUGGUAACAUUAGUAGAAAAGAAUCAUUCAGAAAUUUGUUGUCUACAUAAUUUCUUUGCUCUCUUUUCUCUCUUCAUCACAUUCAUACAAUUUCUUUCUAGUUAUUUCUAAGGGAAUAUAAUUUGGUUUUGCUAAUCGAAUAUUCCAUACUUUGUUGUAUCCUGGAAGUGAUUUGCCAAGAACCCUUUAGCAAACUCAUUCGAGUGGGGGCAAAUAACACUUUAAGGAAACGAUUCAAGUCGUACCUCAAAGUCAUUAUUCGGAUUAUUCUCCAUAUUUCUAUAUUUAAUCUAACAUCUUCUUAGGUCUCUCGUGCAUCUGCAGUGGUGGUCAUCCAAAUUAGCGAAAAGAUCAAGUUGAAACACAACUUGUGAGUUUUUCUCCGUAAAUUUAGAGUUUUGUUGUUCUGGUCUUAUAAUUGUGGUUGUUGAUAUGUAUGGAUGCUGGAAAGUGUGUAUUUUGGUUUAAGUAGGUUAAUUCAUGCAUGCCUGUAAUAUGUUUGAUUAAUAAGCAAGAGAGCUUGAGCGUAAUUUGUUUUAUGAAAUUGUUGAGGAUGUGGAUUGUGCUGAACAUUUUUUGUUUUUCACGAAUUGUGCUGAACCUUAAUUGUACCAGUAAACAACCAAAUGGUAAUGGUGCUUUAUUAAGUUCUGUUAUUGAUGUUGAUAAGGUUGUUAAAUUGAGUUAAACCAUACUAUUGUUUGAUAUACCGAUUAACAAGUAAAUGGGAUUACCUUUUGGACAUAAGAUGGUGAACUACGAAUGGUUUGGUUCCAUCUUAGAGUACGUAUACAGUUUAAUCUAAAGGUUAAAUACAACAAAAAAUAAAAGCAAUUUAAUUGCUACUACACAAUUCAACACAUACUUUUAGUCACGCCCCAUAAUUAAUUUUUUUUUGGGGGUGUGACAACUCAUCUUCAAGACAAGCUUAAAAAAAUAAUGCACACUUCUACUUAAACAAACUUUGGCGUAGAACACUUGUGCAGUGAGCCUUAACAAAAGAACAUUUAAAAAAACCCGUGAGCCAAAACUUUGGAAUAGGGAAAAAGAAUGUUGCACGUGUCGCACCCUGAACUCAAAAUCGGUAAAAAAUUUAAAUCUAGAACGCAAUAAAAAAUUAAAUAGAUAAAAAAAAGCUUAAAAGGGAUGAAAAAUUAAUUAAAUUCCUCUUAUAAAAAUAACUUGUACUUAUUUACAAGGCUAAACAAAUAAAUAAAGUAAAACUCUAGUCUCACAUCUAAUAUGAUCUCAUCCCGCCUACCCCUCUUGACUAUCUAGUUCGUAAGCCUGCAUAACAAUAGAGAGGUGAGUUUCUACUGCUCAAUAGGGACAUAAAACACAUAACUCAAUUAUACAUAUAGUCAGUCUUGGAGAUUAAUGACAAUGCAUGAAUGCAAUGCGACUUAACAUCCUUUACCAACCUGUUAAUCUGUAUAAUAAAACAUGUGGACAUGCACGUCACAUACCAUGCAUUAUACAUUUGCAAUAGUGGUUCAUAUAUUUUAUUAUACAAACUAAACCCCGUAACUCAGUCAUCCUAAAUCUCCUUUCGUUAGUCAUCUUGUCACCAGUCUCAAAUAAAACUAUGUGCACUUUGGGCUGAUAUAAGAUCUGGUACCUACUCAGAGUUAAACUCACAAAAGAUCUUUUCCAACUACCCUCAUUUUUAGAAAUCCUUUCUCAACACUGAAGUUCUAACCACAUCUAAAACAAUGAUAAAUAAUCUCAACUAAUCUUUCACAUAUAUGAUAGUAUAUUCCCAACAAAUAACAUUCUAAUACUAAUUUCUUAAUCAAUAACAAGGAAACACCCGACUAAAGCAAUAAUCUAAUUAGCACAUACAUCCAUAUUAAUCACCAAUAACAUGAGCAUGUACACUUCAUGAAAUUUAAUAAAAUCAAACUCCAUAUAGGGCACUAUAUAUAUAACAGCAAAAGGCCUUAUGGUCUCUAAUUUAAUAUAUUCAAGCAAAAUGCCUUACAUUUUAAUUCACUUUCACAUAACUCUUUGGUCAAAAUUCUGCUAAUAAAUCGAUAAUUUUACUCUUAUAACUAAUUACUUAAACAAUAAGGGUAAAGUUGUCAAUUUAUAAGCGUAAUUAAUUAGUUUUAAAUGUGAGGGAGUUUUGUGAAAACUCGAUAAACCUCAAGGGUUGUUAGUGUAAUUAACUGUUUCUUUAAAACUAUAUAUUUAAUACAAAGUAAACAUUAACCAUAGUAGAAGGUAAUUAUCUGUGCUUGUUAGAUAUUAUUUCCUUAUACCCUAUGCAACAAUAAUACAAUAUACAUUGCGUUUAGACUUCUUACGUACCAAUUAAUAACAUGGAAUAUACUUGUUAUGAUAUCUAUGUACGUCAACUAAUGUUGUUUUCUGGUAUAAUAUUUCCUAAUAACCUAUACAAUAUUAAUUAUUAAUACAUUACUCAAGGAUAUAUUACUUAUUAGUACAUUGCAUGAGGAUCUGUUCAUAUAGUAAUUUUUCAUUUCCUAUCUAGGUCAAGAAAUAUCGUGCAGUAUCCUCCUUCUCUGUAUAAAGCCUACCCUUCCGUUUAACUCUAUAAAUACAAAGUAAUAGGAACCACGAGAACAAUCCCAUCACUAUUUGUAGGGUUUCUCUACUUCAUUAAAAUACUCAUAGCAAAAUUAGGAUGGCUAAAGCGACGUCACUGCUCAACUUUUUUCUCAUUAUCGUUCUUCUUGGUUCAGGUAAUUAAUCUCUCAACAUUUUGUUACAGUUAUUAACAUUGUAUAAUACUAGUAGUUAACCAUACUAGAAUCUAUUAACAGUGAGUUAUUUACGCUGGGAUAGUAGUCAUGGUGUAAUUUUAAUAUUUUUUGUUGUUGUAAAAUACCUUCAUAAUGCUUGAUCAAUUGUCAUUUGUGCAGCUGCACCCAUUAUCAACUCUGCAGCUGCUGAUGGGUGCAUAGUUAAGACCCUGGGAGAUUACCAAUGCCCGAAUGAAGGUUUCGAUCCACAAUGCGACUUGUUAUGUAAGCAACGGCUAGAUCCCAGAAGUAGGUCAGAAUGCGAUAGGGAAACUGGCGGGAAAACUAACAUAUGGUGCACCUGCUUGCUUGAUUGUUAGGUGCAUUUAUUCUCUAUUGUAUUGUAUCUCUCCAUGGAAUAUCAAUAAGGAAGAGAAAUAAAUAAAAGAAUAUGCAAGGUAUUAAUAGUUUGUGGUUCAAAAUUUCAUCUUUGCUUCCAAGGUUUUGAGUUUGAACUUCCCCGCCUCCAGUAUUGAUUCAGAAAAAG
rnacentral:lncRNA from 1 species